rnacentral:lncRNA from 1 species
GGGAAGGGUAUAGUAGCUAAGGUGUAGGUUAAGCUGUUCUAACAAAGAGACCCCAAAGUACAGUGACCUAGAUAAAACCACGCUAACAUUUUGGGAAAAAACACUGGGAACUUCUGGUCCUGUUGCCUGUGUUAACUAGGCCAAGAGGCCCAUGGAUGGCAGCUCUGCAAAUAAGACACAAUUUCCCAUUGGAGCAAGGAGAAGAGUUGUGGAGGGAAGAGAGGGGAUUCCCACAAGGCCUGAGGCUGGGCAGGAGAAGUAACCUUUAAAACCAAUAAAUGGUACCUAUACCAGAUAUCUGCAGGAAGGAUCCAUCUAACUGCACAGUGAUGGUAAGUUUCUUGGGUUGAACACUGGUCCCCUACAUUAGAGGCCUGGGAAUGGGAUGAUUACUAGUAAAGCACAAUAACAGGACUAUAAUUUGAGUUGGGAGUAAGUGCCAUCCCAGCAGAAAGUUUUGCAUAAUUUUAAUUUAGGAAAGAUAUUGACCUGAGCUCAGAGCUAUAACCUGAGUUCUUAUAAAAGGACAAUUGUAUAAACAUGGCUCAAAUACCUAGUCUAUGAAGCACAAUGAAGUUACAAAAUUAACCAACAGUACAGUUGAGGUGUUAUAAAGAAGAAAUCUCUGGGCAGGUCCAGUGGCACAACAGUUAAGUUCACACGUUCGACUUAAGUGGCCCAGGCUUCACCAAUUUGGAUCCCGGGUGCAGACAUGGGACCACUUGGCAGGCCAUUCUAUGGCAGAUGUCCCACAUGUAAAGUAGAGGAAGAUGGACACAGAUGUUAGCUCAAGGCCAGUCUUCCUUAGCAAAAAGACGAUUGGCAGCAGAUGUUAGCUCAGGGCUAAUCUUCCUCAAAAAAAAAAAAAAAGCAAGAAAUCUCAAUGCAUGCAAGAGAGUAACACACCGUGCAUAUGUAACUCACAUGGGGAAGGUUUUUAACCAGGAACUAUGACUGACUGAUUAGCCUAGAAUUCAUACAUAGAGAAAAGAACAAAUGAGCGUCUGUGGGCAGUCUUUUAAGUGCCUCUUAUCUCCUCCAAUAAGCAGAAAUCUCACAUUGGGGAAGAACCCAUUGAAUAGAACUAGUGUGAGAUGUUUCACUCACAGGUUCACAGUGAUUUAACAUAUGUGAAGUCACGUGGGCCCAGGAGGCCCAACUCCAUAAGCUGUUGGACCAACUGAGGCAGCAAAGCCAUGAGGAAACACUGAAGUUUCACCUGGAAAAUACCCAAUAUAUUCUCCAAAACAUGAAAUACUGCUUCAACCCGGUUAUUGAGCACCCUCCACGCAGCCACUCGUAGCUGUACAGGACUGGUAGCAGGACCGAUGGCCAACUUUUGGAGUUUCCCAUGGGUAUCUGGAGCACUUCUGAGAUCUGAAAUAUGGAUUCAGGAUCACUGUACUGCCCCGGGCCUCCAGGUCCCAGUUUGUGUAUCGCCUGAGGCAGUCCUGCGGCCUCUGGAACAAAGUGUGUGUGUGUAGAGGGGGAGCCGGCUUUCCUCAGGGCCCUAUUGGACCUCUCUUAAUUUAGGCCACAUAAUGAGUGGCUGGCUUACUCUUUUCAUGGCUUUCAGAAGCGGACCCUGAAAAUAUCCCCCCUUUCCUCGAUCCUCAGGAUCAUUGGGAUUCCACCCUGCCUCGGUCUCUGGCACAGCCUGUCCACCAGGCCUGCAGAUGUCCAAUCCUGGGUCAUCUUCCUUCCCUGCUUGUUCUCUGGCUUCGAAUGGAACGGAUGAAUUUGCCUCAGGCAUGCUAACCUUCUCCUGCAGAAGCCCACAAUUCAUAUGGGAUGAGAAUUCAUAUGGAGAGAGGAUAAUAAUAUUGUUAAUAAAGUUAUUUUUAUUAUUAAUAGCUAACAA